GCGGGUAUAGCUUAGUGGUAAAGCCCCAGCCUUCCAAGCUGCCGACAAGCGCCCGUGCCCGCC
rnacentral:tRNA from 1 species